rnacentral:rRNA from 1 species
CGGACGGGUGAGUAACGCGUGGAAAACCUGCCGUAUACUGGGGGAUAACACUUAGAAAUAGGUGCUAAUACCGCAUAAGCGCACAGCUUCGCAUGAAGCGGUGUGAAAAACUCUGGUGGUAUACGAUGGUUCCGCGUCUGAUUAGCUAGUUGGUGGGGUAAUGGCCUACCAAGGCAGCGAUCAGUAGCCGGCCUGAGAGGGUGAACGGCCACAUUGGGACUGAGACACGGCCCAAACUCCUACGGGAGGCAGCAG